AGUGAACGCUGGCGGCAGGCCUAACACAUGCAAGUCGAGCGGCAGCGCGUCCGACCACCCUCGGGUGGUCGGAUGGCGGCGAGCGGCGGACGGGUGAGGAAUGCAUCGGAAUCUGCCUCGUUGUGGGGGAUAACGUAGGGAAACUUACGCUAAUACCGCAUACGACCUACGGGUGAAAGUGGGGGACCUUCGGGCCUCACGCGAUGAGAUGAGCCGAUGCCGGAUUAGCUAGUUGGCGGGGUAAAGGCCCACCAAGGCGACGAUCCGUAGCUGGUCUGAGAGGAUGAUCAGCCACACUGGAACUGAGACACGGUCCAGACUCCUACGGGAGGCAGCAGUGGGGAAUAUUGGACAAUGGGGGCAACCCUGAUCCAGCCAUGCCGCGUGUGUGAAGAAGGCCUCGGUU
rnacentral:rRNA from 1 species